UUAAAUUGAAGAGUUUGAUCAUGGCUCAGAUUGAACGCUGGCGGCAGGCCUAACACAUGCAAGUCGAGCGGAAACGAGUUAUCUGA
rnacentral:rRNA from 3 species